rnacentral:rRNA from 1 species
GUGGCCCCGGAGCCGACGGCUACUUCCACCAUUGCGAACUCGUCCAAGUUGCUUCGGCGGCGCGGCUCCCCCUAACGGGGGCGCCGCAGCCCUGCCUCUCCGGAGGUUCGGGGCGCCCGCCGGAGGUACGAAACUCUGUAUUAUAGUGGCAUCUCUGAGUAAAAAGCAAAUAAGUUAAAACUUUCAACAACGGAUCUCUUGGUUCUGGCAUCGAUGAAGAACGCAGCGAAAUGCGAUAAGUAAUGUGAAUUGCAGAAUUCAGUGAAUCAUCGAAUCUUUGAACGCACAUUGCGCCCGGUAGUACUCUACCGGGCAUGCCUGUUCGAGCGUCAUUUCAACCCUCAAGCCCUGCUUGGUGUUGGGGCCCUACGGCUGCCGUAGGCCCUGAAAGGAAGUGGCGGGCUCGCUACAACUCCGAGCGUAGUAAUUCAUUAUCUCGCUAGGGAGGUUGCGGCGUGCUCCUGCCGUUAAAGACCCAUCUUUAACCAAGGUUGACCUCGGAUCAGGUAGGAAUACCCGCUGAACUUAAGCAUAUCAAUAAGCGGAGGAA